rnacentral:tRNA from 1 species
GGGCCCGUAGCUCAGCCAGGAUAGAGCGCCGGCCUUCUAAGCCGGCGGUCCGGGGUUCGAAUCCCCGCGGGCCCGCCA